rnacentral:rRNA from 1 species
UACGAAGGGGGCUAGCGUUGCUCGGAAUCACUGGGCGUAAAGCGCACGUAGGCGGACUCUUAAGUCGGUGGUGAAAUCCUGGAGCUCAACUCCAGAACUGCCUUCGAUACUGAGAGUCUCGAGUCCGGGAGAGGUGAGUGGAACUGCGAGUGUAGAGGUGAAAAUGCGCAGAUAUCAGGAGGAACACCAUGGCGAGGGCAGCUCUCUGGUACGUGACUGACACUGAGACGCGAAAGCGUGGGGAGCCGAACAGG